UUGAUUGCGGAUCGGAUGUGAAAUGUUAAUUACCAAUUUACCAUUUACCUGUGUGUAGAUUUGCAGAUUUACAUGUUCUGCGAGCCUGUACUCAGUGUAUAUGUGUGUGUUUACUGUUUAGCAUAUGACUUUAUGUGUAUUUAGAUUUUGGGUAGUUGAAAUUGGAAUUUUGUGUUUACAGAUUUUGAUAAGAGAAAGAAUAUUGAAAGACCAAACUUAUGUGUUGGACAAGAAGUAGAAUCUAAAAUUCAAGAUAGGUGUUGUAGGAGGAAAAAUGCAGAAAUUUUGCUUAAUAUGUUGGAGAUCUGUCAUCAUAAUUAAACAUAAUAAAAUUUCAAGCUCAUAUUCUUUCUGCUUUUUGGUAGUUAUUAUUUCAUUGAUAAGACUUACUCCAACCUAUACCAAUUAGAAGUUCAUGGAUGCUGAACUAUUUCCUUUAUUUUUCUAUUAAUUUUUUUUUCAAGUAAAUCAGGCUGCAGCCCAUUUCAUAAAAACAAAACAAAAUGUCAUUACAAAUGAUUGAGUCAGGCCCAAAGGUGACCUGAGCCGGAUCCAAAAAAGACCAGCCAUCAAACAAAUAUCCAAAUGUUCAGAUCAUUAGGUCAUUUUGGAAAGUGAGGUCCUUUCUCUUGUUGCCUUUUCAUGCUCUCCGGCUAUAUGUGUAAACUUCAGAGCUUUUCUCCGUCGAUGUAGUUUUCAUGGUGUCCCGAAACCAUUCUCUGUUUCUCCACCACUCAAGCUAAGUUUCAAAAUUUAAUCAUUCUUUUUCUUUUUCCUAGCUCGAUGGAUUGAGCUUCUUUAGAAACUAAUACCACCAGCCCUACUAGAAAAUAAUGUUUAGUAGAUAAAGAUUUGAGUACUUUGUUAGUGUAAAAAUAAAAUUGCUAAUCAUUAUGGGAUUUAUUGCAGAUCCAAUGCAACUGGUGUUUGAGUAUUCAACCCGUUACAACCAAAAUUCUCACUGGAUGCUGAACUAUUUGAAGCCUACUUUUCGGAUAAAUGUUUCCUAGUUAUACUAUUUAAUGCAUGAUGAACCAUAUAUAUCGUAAUCCAAAUACGGGCAGGAAAAUCCUAUUUGAUGCAUGAUGAACCAAAUACUAUUUAAAGAUCAUCCUAUUUUUCAAAUAUUAUGCCGUAAUUUUAAAAUCCUAUUGUCAUUAACUUAUUCUUAUAGCAGUAAUUUCCCUUUCUUUAAUUUAGGUUUCCACUUUCAACCGGUAUUAUCUAGUGUUAUUAGUGGGAAUUUGGGAAAGAAUUAGUGGAUGCUCUUGUGAGUUGUGUAUAUGCAUUCCACUCUUUGUUCCUAUAUUCUUAGUAGUCACUUGUUGUCUGGUAUCUCUCUAUUUUGAAUCAUGAAUUAUGAAAGCAAUAGGUUUUUUUUGUGUUAGAGCAAUUUAUAUGCAGUCCAAAGCAGUAUUUCCCAUGGUUUUGUUUCAAAUUCUUAAACCUAUUAUGCUGACUCUUUACAAAAGUUUAUAUGUAGUCCAAAGCAGUAGGCUCUUUAAUGAACCUACAAUGCUGGCAUACUUCAAUAAGUUAGAUUUUCAAUGUGUUCGGGGCAUUCUUGAAGUGUUUAUGUGAACAUAAUAAACACUAUUGAUUGUUUAAACGGAAUAAACUGAGGCAAUUGAAGAUUAGCAAUAAAAAGUGAGAACUUCUGUUGGGACAGUAGUGCAUUGGUAUAAUGUUCUCGACUUCUUUGGUAAUACCUGCAUUUUUUGCAGACAACUUUCCUACAUGGUUUGCAGGAUGCAUCCCAUAUACCUUCUUUCUGUAUAAACUUGUUUUCUUAUCAAAACAAAUAAGGAAGAAAAAUAAGGUAUAUCAGUUUUUCUUCAUCAAAGAAAACAAAUAAUUGUCUUAUGUUACCGGUGCGUUUGAGCUUUUGUAGCAUCUAGCCUUUGGAUGUUCUCCCCUAUUUCUAUACACAUGUAAACCACUUUCAGAAUAUAGUUACCAAUUACUCAUGCUUUGAUAUCUCAAUCUAAGCACCCAAUCAUAUCCUUUUCAACUGAUAGGAAAUCAAAUAAAUGUUGUUUGCUAAUUACGAUGUAGCUUCUUUAUGGAAAUUGUACAUUAGUUUGUGUUGUGUUGAUAAUUUUUGUUCAUAUUUCUCCAAUGUGGUUAACUGGUAUCGUCACUAUUGCAGAUAUACUAAAAUUGUACUUUUAAUCAAUGCUCUUGUUGCUUUGAGCUUUAAAAAUAUUCUGUCAUACUUUUCUUUUGGUGCACCUAUGUAGCUUCUUUUUGUAUAGACUAUGGAGGAUUGGCCAUCUUUUAGAGUGAACCUUAUUUUGUAGGUCUUUUCCUAUUUUUAGUUACUUCUGGAAUGUUUAGGUGUCGUCACAUUUUUGAAUUGGUUUCUGCCCUUUAAAAUCCAGGUGCUAAAGUCAAAAGAGCUAAGGAUAACUGAUAACUAAAUUCAUUUCCAAAGUUAGUAGUUAAUAGCUUAGAAGCUAAACACUGCUAGGACUGAUGAACAGUUAUCUGAUUCUUUCCUAUGGAGUGGUACAAAAUUUUCAGUCAAGGUAUGUCAUAAAAGUUUAAUUCUUAAAAUGGUACGAAAUCCUGAAAAAUGUCCAUGGGGGAUAAUCUGGAAAACUAUUGCUCCCUCUCAGAGUUGCCUGUCUUACAUGUAUUGCGUCCCUUGCCUAGCUUCACGAAUGUUUCAGACAGUUAAGAUAUAUGUUUCUUGGAAUUUUUUGGAGUCAAUAAAUCAUGCAAGAAAGUGUCAUCAAACAAGCCUUAAACAGUCCGCACAAUCAGUCAUCAAAUAUGGGAAAUAGUUUCUACUAGAAUGCAGUACUAAGUUGCACUUUGUGAUAGUAUCUGACUAGAGAGAAACAAUAGAUGUUUUUCUGGUAAAAAGGAGCAUCUUUUCUGGCCUUGUGUCACCAUAGAUUAUUAUACUCUUAAAAAUAGUGUUGUUAGCCAUCCAGGCUCCAAUGAGAAAGCAUAGUGUUAGUGAAACUGAUACCAAGAAUGUUUCUCCAUUGUUAUUUGAUCCUAAAACAUUUAGAGCUGUAUCUAUACUCUUGCUAUUUGAAGCCUGCAUAAUUCUUGCAACCCAAGCUCUCUUGUCAUUGUUCUCAAAGCCCAUGAGAGUGGUAUGAGGAAUAGUGAGGUAUCUAUAGAGCAUUCUUUUUCUUUCCUCGGACUGAGGAGGAUCCUUCUUUUUCUUUGAAAUAUAUUUUAUAUAUACUAAAUUAUUUCUUCUCCUGACAACUAUUUUUUUUCUUUUUUGACUGUCCCAACUUCAGAAUCAUCAAAAUGCUGUGAGAACACCAGAUAAUGCAUUCACAGCAGUGUUUGGAAAGGAGAAGCCUGGUCAGUUAGAGGCUAUGGUAGAUCAGUGACAACAAAUGAUGAGGAAAUGAACGAGCUUAAACAAAAGCAUGCUAAAGAAGUCACUUCUAUGAAGGAAAAUUAUAAGUGAAAUGAGAAAAGAAAUGUGACAGUUUUUUAGUCAAUUGGUGAAAAACAAUCUUGGAUUGAAUUUUCAAGAUAUACUAGGGAGUGACGGACCUAACAUUCCUUCACCUGAUGUGAGUAAUGCACAAGCUAUUAGAGCAAAAAUUCUUUCAAAUUCUUCUAGCUCAACUCAUGCUUUGGCUCAUGAAAAGGAUCAAUGCGGGGGGUCAAAUUUGAAUGGUGGGCGCCACAACUCAACUUGAUCUACAUUGAAGUGAAUGAUGAAGAAAUUUUGAAACAUUUUGUUAUAUGUUUACAUAAAUUUGGUUUUGUGUGGAACUUAGUACAAAUUUUUAUUAUGUUGUUUUCUACUUAGUAUGUAACCGAGCCCCCACUAUGUGGGAAUCUAUUGGGUUUGUUGUUGUUGUUGUCUACUUAGUAGGUAAAAGACAUUUUUUUUGAAAUCAAAUCUAUGCACUUCAAUUAUUUAUUAGCUAA